GCAAAGCAGUGAUGCAGAGCAAAUCCCCAAAAGCAGUCUUAGUUCGGAUUGUAGGCUGCAACUCGCCUACAUGAAGUCGGAAUUGCUAGUAAUCGCGGAUCAGCACGCCGCGGUGAAUACGUUCCCGGGCCUUGUACACACCGCCCGUCACACCAUGGGAGUCGGUAACACCCGAAGCCUGUAGUCUAACCGCAAGGAGGACGCAGUCGAAGGUGGGAUUGAUGACUGGGGUGAAGUCGUAACAAGGUAAC
rnacentral:rRNA from 1 species